UGCUUUGCUUAUGUGGAUCCCUGCUUAAUAUCUAAGCAGUUUCACCCUGUAGAGAGGGGAAGAGAGAGUGAGAGAGAACCCGGGAGGGGGUGGGGCCUGCCAUGUGCGGGAGGCCCGCACCCCCCGCACGGGUAAGUAAAAACUAUAUUUCCUAGAUUUUUGGUUGCAACUAAAUCAAAAGAAGGUUGGAAAAGUUUAAAAAAAGAGUUCCAAGGCUCCGACAAAAUCAUCACUAUUAAGCUUCAAUUAUUAUGGUGUGAGUUUGAUAAUUUAGCCAUGAAAGAUAAUGAAAAUAUAAAAGAUUUUUCCUCUAGAGUUGCCGGGAGUAUAAAUCAAAUAAGAAGUUAUGGAUAUAGAAUUGAAGAGAAAAAGAUAGUUGAGAAAAUUCUAAGAAGUUUACCAGCUAAAUUUGAUCAUAUUGUCGCAACAAUCAAAGAAUCAAAAGCUUUAUCUAUUUUUACUUUGCAUGAACUGAUGGGUUCUCUUGAGGUACAUGCACAAAGAAUGAGUAGGCUUACAUAUCAAAAUGAAAUAUAGAGCAAGCAUUUCAAUCCAAACUUACAAUCAAAGAAAGGAAAGCAACAAGUGUGGAGAGAGAUGGCAAAGAUAGAAGACAAUUCCAAAGGAGAAAUCAAGAUAAUUGGUCUCGUGGCAAAGGUAAAGGCCGAAGUGGACAACCAACUCAAAGAAAUGAUAUCUUGGGGCAAUUCAGAAUUCAGAGGAGGCAGUUGCUCUUGAAUUUGGCAAUGUUGUGAUGACCUUCUCCUUAAAUGUCAGAUGGCUUCAAUAAUUAAAAGCAUAGUGUACUUUAGAUGGCCUAUAGUGGUGCAUGGAAAUCAGGGGUGGAGGUUUAUUACUUGCAUGUGGCUGCGCGCGGGUAUUAUCCAUAUUAUUGCGAACAUGACAUGUCUCAUUAUCAUUGGACGCCUUGAGCGGCGGUUCGGAUUUUGUAAGCUUCGCUCUAUCAAUUGAAACAGUUCUAGAUAAGCUGAAACUAUCUGUUCUCUUUGCUUCAUUCUACUUCAAUAACUGUUUUUGGGGGGUUAUUUACCUGGUUUGAUUAUUUAACUUUUCAAUAUAUAUUACAUAUGUUGGCUAAUCGAUCACCGAUCACUCUUUCGUAGUAAGAAUUGGAAGCUCACUUUCAUUGUUUUA